rnacentral:rRNA from 1 species
AUGCAGUCGAACGAGAAAGCCGGGGCAACCUGGUGAGUAAAGUGGCGUACGGGUGAGUAACACGUGGGUAAUCUACCUCUUAGUGUGGAAUAACCCUGGGAAACCGGGGCUAAUACCGCAUAAUCUCGAGAGAGGAAAGCAGCAAUGCGCUGAGAGAGGAGCCCGCGGCCGAUUAGCUAGUUGGUGAGGUAAAAGCCCACCAAGGCUCAGAUCGGUAGCCGGCCUGAGAGGGCACACGGCCACACUGGCACUGAAACACGGGCCAGACUCCUACGGGAGGCAGCAGUGGGGAAUCUUGCACAAUGGGGGAAACCCUGAUGCAGCGACGCCGCGUGAGCGAUGAAGCCCUUCGGGGUGUAAAGCUCUUUCGGCAGGGAAGAUUAUGACGGUACCUGCAUAAGCAGCUGCGGCUAACUACGUGCCAGCAGCCGCGGUAAUACGUAGGCAGCGAGCGUUGUUCGGAGUUACUGGGCGUAAAGGGUGUGUAGGCGGCUUUCUAAGUUUGGUGUGAAAUCUCCCGGCUCAACUGGGAGGGUGCGCCGAAUACUGAAAGGCUAGAGUGCGGGAGAGGAGAGUGGAAUUCCUGGUGUAGCGGUGAAAUGCGUAGAUAUCAGGAGGAACACCGGUGGUGUAGACGGCUCUCUGGACCGUAACUGACGCUGAGACACGAAAGCGUGGGUAGCAAACAGGAUUAGAUACCCUGGUAGUCCACGCCCUAAACGAUGCAUAUUUGGUGUGGGUCAUUCAGUUGAUCCGUGCCGGAGCUAACGCGUUAAAUAUGCCGCCUGGGGAGUACAGUCGCAAGGCUGAAACUCAAAGGAAUUGACGGGGGCCCGCACAAGCGGUGGAGCAUGUGGUUCAAUUCGACGCAACGCGAAGAACCUUACCUGGGCUCGAACGGCUGGUUAACGGGAGGUGGAAACAUCUUUACCCCGCAAGGGGGUCCAGUCGAGGUGCUGCAUGGCUGUCGUCAGCUCGUGUCGUGAGAUGUUGGGUUAAGUCCCGCAACGAGCGC